rnacentral:rRNA from 1 species
AUUGAACGCUGGCGGCAUGCUUUACACAUGCAAGUCGAACGGUAACAGGGUGCUUGCACCGCUGACGAGUGGCGAACGGGUGAGUAAUGCGUCGGAAUGUACCGUGUAAUUGGGGAUAGCUCGGCGAAAGCCGGAUUAAUACCGCAUACGCCCUGAUGGGGAAAGUGGGGGACCGAAAGGCCUCACGUUAUACGAGCAGCCGAUGUCUGAUUAGCUAGUUGGUGAGGUAAAGGCUCACCAAGGCGUCGAUCAGUAGCGGGUCUGAGAGGAUGAUCCGCCACACUGGGACUGAGACACGGCCCAGACUCCUACGGGAGGCAGCAGUGGGGAAUUUUGGACAAUGGGCGCAAGCCUGAUCCAGCCAUGCCGCGUGUCUGAAGAAGGCCUUCGGGUUGUAAAGGACUUUUGUCCGGGAGCAAAUCCUAGUGGUUAAUACCUACUGGGGCUGAGAGUACCGGAAGAAUAAGCACCGGCUAACUACGUG